AAAGCAUUUACUAGGCGGUUUCAGGCCUUGAUUGCUUUGUGUAGUUUUAUAAUCUUGUUUACUGUUUUUUGCUUGAUUAUAUGGGGCGCUAGCCGGCCUUUCAAAGCAGAGAUUACUGUCAAGAGCUUGUUAGUAAGUAACUUUUAUGUUGGGGAAGGUUCGGACUUCUCUGGCGUUCCAACAAAGAUGCUUACGGUGAAUGGCUCGUUGAGAAUGAGCAUAUACAACCCUGCUACAAUAUUUGGCAUUCAUGUUAGUUCCACGCCAAUCAAUCUCAUAUACUCAGAAAUCCC
rnacentral:misc_RNA from 1 species